rnacentral:rRNA from 1 species
UACGUAGGGGGCUAGCGUUGUCCGGAUUUAUUGGGCGUAAAGAGCGUGUAGGCGGCCAUGUAGGUCCGGUGUGAAAACUCGAGGCUUAACCUCGAGAUGUCAUCGGAAACCAUUUGGCUAGAGUCCGGAAGAGGAGAGUGGAAUUCCUGGUGUAGCGGUGAAAUGCGCAGAUAUCGGGAGGAACACCUGUGGUGUAGACGGCUUUCUGGACCAUUGCUGACGCUGAGACACGAAAGCGUGGGUAGCAAACAGG